rnacentral:rRNA from 1 species
UGCACGGUGGCCCUGGUUGUCGAGGUGGAUCCGUUCACCGAGACGCCAGUGGAUCAACCCUGUGCGCCAAACUGUGGUCUCUAAUCGACCGAAGCGGUUCCCUGUGAGUAGGCUCCUUCAUUGGGGCUGAAAGCGAUUACGCAUCAACCAUAUGCAUACGGGACGUCGGUCAAUGUUACUGUGAACAAACCAGCGUGUCCAAAACAGGCUUUCGCCUGAAUGUUCGAGCAUGGAAUAACAAGGGAUCGAUUCUCUCGGUUCUUUUUGUUGGUUUUUAACCCAAGAAGGAGUAAUUCAGGCCACGGUGUCUGAGUUGGGUUCCCCUUCCCCUCGGGGAAGGCCCCA